rnacentral:ribozyme from 1 species
UCAUUUUCUAAUUAUAUCUUUUCUUUCCUUAUUUUUAUCAUAUAUUGGAUUAUCUUUGUAUUAUAUCACACAGAGAG